GACGAACGCUGGCGGCGUGCUUAACACAUGCAAGUCGAACGAUGGACCACUUCGGUGGGGAUUAGUGGCGAACGGGUGAGUAACACGUGGGCAAUCUGCCCUUCACUCUGGGACAAGCCCUGGAAUCGGGGUCUAAUACCGGAUACAACACUCUCGGGCAUCCGAUGAGUGUGGAAAGCUCCGGCGGUGAAGGAUGAGCC
rnacentral:rRNA from 1 species